GACUUUCGGGUUAUAUUCUAGUGGCGAACGGCUGAGUAACGCGUAAGUAACCUACCCUCGAGUGGGGAAUAACUUGUCGAAAGGCAAGCUAAUACCGCAUGAAGUAACCAAAAGAUAUGUUUGGUUACCAAAGUCUUCGGAUGCUCGAAGAGGGGCUUGCGUCUGAUUAGCUAGUUGGUGAGGUAAUGGCUCACCAAGGCGAUGAUCAGUAGCUGGUCUGAGAGGAUGGUCAGCCAGAUAGGGACUGAGACACGGCCCUGACUCCUACGGGAGGCAGCAGCAGGGAAUAUUGGACAAUGGGCGAAAGCCUGAUCCAGCGACACCGCGUGAGGGAAGAAGGCCUUCGGGUUGUAAACCUCUUUUCUCUGGGAAGAGAUUUGACGGUACCAGAGGAAUAAGCCUCGGCUAAUUACGUGCCAGCAGCCGCGGUAAAACGUGGGAGGCGAACGUUAUCCGGAUUUACUGGGCGUAAAGGGAGUGUAGGCGGUUCUUUAAGUCAGGUGUGAAAUCUCUUGACUCAAUCGAGAGAAGUCAUCUGAAACUGAGGGACUUGAGGGCGGCAGAAGGAAACGGAAUUCCCAGUGUAGCGGUGAAAUGCGUUGAUACCGGGAAGAACACCAGUGGCGAAGGCGGUUUCCUAGGCUGUUUCUGACGCUGAGACUCGAAAGCGUGGGGAGCGAAGCGGAUUAGAUACCCGCGUAGUCCACGCCCUAAACGGUGGACACUAGAUAUCGGGAGUAUCGACCCUCC
rnacentral:rRNA from 1 species